rnacentral:rRNA from 1 species
GUGGGGAAUCUUAGACAAUGGGCGCAAGCCUGAUCUAGCCAUGCCGCGUGAGCGAUGAAGGCCUUAGGGUUGUAAAGCUCUUUCGCUGGGGAAGAUAAUGACUGUACCCAGUAAAGAAGCCCCGGCUAACUCCGUGCCAGCAGCCGCGGUAAUACGGAGGGGGCUAGCGUUGUUCGGAAUUACUGGGCGUAAAGCGCGCGUAGGCGGAUUGGAAAGUUGGGGGUGAAAUCCCGGGGCUCAACCUCGGAACUGGCUUCAAAACUCCCAGUCUUGAGUUCGAGAGAGGUGAGUGGAAUUCCGAGUGUAGAGGUGAAAUUCGUAGAUAUUCGGAGGAACACCAGUGGCGAAGGCGGCUCACUGGCUCGAUACUGACGCUGAGGUGCGAAAGCGUGGGGAGCAAACAGGAUUAGAUACCCGUGUAGUCC